UCCAUCUGACUGGCGAUUGAAUGGUGACAAGGACAGAGAGAAAGAGAGAGAGGAGAGAGAGGUGGCGGUACAAUUGACGGAUUGCUCGUGAUCGUUCGUGAGAAAGUCUUUCCAUGUCGGUCGGAUUUUGACUCAAUGCCGCGUUUGUUGUUAAACUGCAGCCACACGAAGGCGGCCACCGCCGCCGCAACAGCAGCAGUAGCAGUAGCGUCGGGAAGAAGGUCGAUAAAAAUACCAUUAAGAUCCCCCGGCGAAUAUUCUGCUGGCAUUAUUGUGCAAUUUGCUCGAAUUACGCGAAUCAGCCGCGUCUUUCUACCCCGACACGCGAAAUGGCCUUGCCUUACUUGACGGAAAAAAAAAAAGAAAGAAAGAAAGGGAACGCCAUUUAGCGUCCGUACGAAUUAAACGGCCGCCGGGAACUUAACUACGAAUUACGGCGGACGGGGGUUUCGUUUCGGCGCGCGUAUCGCACGCGAACGUCCCGUUUAACGCGUGAUUACCAGUAUCGCCGUUAUCGCGUAGUUAAAUAUGGCGCGCGGGUUAACAGAUGUAUCAAUUAUUAGCGGCUAGCUGAGCGGCCGAAUACACAUUCUAACCAAACGUUCCUCUUAGAGAGAGAAAGAAGGAAAGAGAGAGAGAGAGAUUCAUAGAGCUCGCGGGAGAGAGGAUUCGAGACCGAUAAAGCUGCCAGCGUUUUGCUUUACCAGAGCCGCGAUAACUUCCCAUCUUGGCUCAUAAAUCGACCCGAUUAUCGUGAACCCUCGACAAGAUAUGCCGUCAGCGAGCGUUUCCUACC